UAUCUCUCCGUACGGGGAAGGAUGAGAAGCUUCGACUAAGGUUCGAUUCGAGCGCAGCGAGA
rnacentral:sRNA from 2 species